UACGAAGGGGGCUAGCGUUGCUCGGAAUUACUGGGCGUAAAGGGCGCGUAGGCGGGAUGGCAAGUCGGUCGUGAAAUCCCUCGGCUCAACCGAGGAACGUCGAUCGAUACUGCUGUUCUUGAGGAUUGCAGAGGAGACUGGAAUUCCCGGUGUAGCGGUGAAAUGUGUAGAGAUCGGGAGGAACACCGGUGGCGAAGGCGGGUCUCUGGGCAAUUCCUGACGCUGAGGCGCGAAAGCGUGGGGAGCAAACGGGG
rnacentral:rRNA from 1 species